rnacentral:sRNA from 1 species
GUUUUAAAAAAUAUUUUCGUCAUCCUAAAUUGAAAAUAUGUAAUUCACAUUGCCUCACAAUUAAUCUAGUAUAUUGAUUCUUUAAAAAAAAAUAGAUAGAGAUUCAUAAGUAAAUUACUUCAUGUUCUAAUGAUGUUUAUCUCCUAAUUUACUAUUCAUUUAUGCGUAUUCUUAUGGAUUUUUCUUUCAGGGUCAACACUAGAUUAAAAGAAACUAGCCGGGUGUUGAUAAAUAUUAUGCCAUAGAUAAAAUCAUGGAAUUAACAAUCAAAAUAUAGUUAUACAAUCUGAAACAAUAAAAAAACA